rfam:Picea glauca, whole genome shotgun sequence.
UUAUGUACAUACCUACAGUGUUAAUGCAAUGGAUCCCAUUAGAACUUCAUAAUUAAGUGUGCUUGGGACAGAGUAGUACUAGGAUGGGUGACCUCCUAGGAAGUCCUAGCGUUUUGCAUUCC